AGCGUACACGGUGGAUGCCCUGGCAGUCAGAGGCGAUGAAGGACGUGCUAAUCUGCGAAAAGCGCCGGCGAGGUGAUAUGAACCCUUGACCCGGCGAUGUCCGAAUGGGGAAACCCAGUGCAAUUCGUUGCACUAUCGUUAACUGAAUACAUAGGUUAACGAGGCGAACCGGGGGAACUGAAACAUCUAAGUACCCCGAGGAAAAGAAAUCAACCGAGAUUCCCCCAGUAGCGGCGAGCGAACGGGGAGCAGCCCGGAGUCUGAAUCAGCUUGUGUGUUAGUGGAACGGUCUGGAAAGUCCGACGGUACAGGGUGAUAGUCCCGUACACGAAAAUGCACAGGUUGUGAACUCGAAGAGUAGGGCGGGACACGUGGUAUCCUGUCUGAAUAUGGGGGGACCAUCCUCCAAGGCUAAAUACUCCUGACUGACCGAUAGUGAACCAGUACCGUGAGGGAAAGGCGAAAAGAACCCCGGCGAGGGGAGUGAAAAAGAACCUGAAACCGUGUACGUACAAGCAGUGGGAGCCUCUUUAUGGGGUGACUGCGUACCUUUUGUAUAAUGGGUCAGCGACUUAUAUUCUGUAGCAAGGUUAACCGUAUAGGGGAGCCGAAGGGAAACCGAGUCUUAACUGGGCGUUAAGUUGCAGGGUAUAGACCCGAAACCCGGUGAUCUAGCCAUGGGCAGGUUGAAGGUUGGGUAACACUAACUGGAGGACCGAACCGACUAAUGUUGAAAAAUUAGCGGAUGACCUGUGGCUGGGGGUGAAAGGCCAAUCAAACCGGGAGAUAGCUGGUUCUCCCCGAAAGCUAUUUAGGUAGCGCCUCGUGAACUCAUCUUCGGGGGUAGAGCACUGUUUCGGCUAGGGGGCCAUCCCGGCUUACCAACCCGAUGCAAACUACGAAUACCGAAGAAUGUUAUCACGGGAGACACACGGCGGGUGCUAACGUCCGUCGUGAAGAGGGAAACAACCCAGACCGCCAGCUAAGGUCCCAAAGUCAUGGUUAAGUGGGAAACGAUGUGGGAAGGCACAGACAGCCAGGAUGUUGGCUUAGAAGCAGCCAUCAUUUAAAGAAAGCGUAAUAGCUCACUGGUCGAGUCGGCCUGCGCGGAAGAUGUAACGGGGCUAAACCAUGCACCGAAGCUGCGGCAGCGACACUAUGUGUUGUUGGGUAGGGGAGCGUUCUGUAAGCCGUUGAAGGUGUGCUGUGAGGCAUGCUGGAGGUAUCAGAAGUGCGAAUGCUGACAUAAGUAACGAUAAAGCGGGUGAAAAGCCCGCUCGCCGGAAGACCAAGGGUUCCUGUCCAACGUUAAUCGGGGCAGGGUGAGUCGACCCCUAAGGCGAGGCCGAAAGGCGUAGUCGAUGGGAAACAGGUUAAUAUUCCUGUACUUGGUGUUACUGCGAAGGGGGGACGGAGAAGGCUAUGUCAGCCGGGCGACGGUUGUCCCGGUUUAAGCAUGUAGGCGGAGGUUCCAGGUAAAUCCGGUACCUUAUUAACGCUGAGGUGUGAUGACGAGGCACUACGGUGCUGAAGUGAUAAAUGCCCUGCUUCCAGGAAAAGCCUCUAAGCAUCAGGUAACACGAAAUCGUACCCCAAACCGACACAGGUGGUCAGGUAGAGAAUACCAAGGCGCUUGAGAGAACUCGGGUGAAGGAACUAGGCAAAAUGGUGCCGUAACUUCGGGAGAAGGCACGCUGAUAGGUAGGUGAAGCCCCUGCGGGCGGAGCUGAAAUCAGUCGAAGAUACCAGCUGGCUGCAACUGUUUAUUAAAAACACAGCACUGUGCAAACACGAAAGUGGACGUAUACGGUGUGACGCCUGCCCGGUGCCGGAAGGUUAAUUGAUGGGGUUAGCGGCAACGCGAAGCUCUUGAUCGAAGCCCCGGUAAACGGCGGCCGUAACUAUAACGGUCCUAAGGUAGCGAAAUUCCUUGUCGGGUAAGUUCCGACCUGCACGAAUGGCGUAAUGAUGGCCAGGCUGUCUCCACCCGAGACUCAGUGAAAUUGAACUCGCUGUGAAGAUGCAGUGUACCCGCGGCAAGACGGAAAGACCCCGUGAACCUUUACUAUAGCUUGACACUGAACACUGGUCCUUGAUGUGUAGGAUAGGUGGGAGGCUUUGAAGCGUGGACGCCAGUCUGCGUGGAGCCAACCUUGAAAUACCACCCUUUAAUGGCUGGUGUUCUAACGUAGACCCGUGAUCCGGGUUGCGGACAGUGUCUGGUGGGUAGUUUGACUGGGGCGGUCUCCUCCCAAAGAGUAACGGAGGAGCACGAAGGUUGGCUAAUCCUGGUCGGACAUCAGGAGGUUAGUGCAAUGGCAUAAGCCAGCUUGACUGCGAGCGUGACGGCGCGAGCAGGUGCGAAAGCAGGUCAUAGUGAUCCGGUGGUUCUGAAUGGAAGGGCCAUCGCUCAACGGAUAAAAGGUACUCCGGGGAUAACAGGCUGAUACCGCCCAAGAGUUCAUAUCGACGGCGGUGUUUGGCACCUCGAUGUCGGCUCAUCACAUCCUGGGGCUGAAGUAGGUCCCAAGGGUAUGGCUGUUCGCCAUUUAAAGUGGUACGCGAGCUGGGUUUAGAACGUCGUGAGACAGUUCGGUCCCUAUCUGCCGUGGGCGCUGGAGAAUUGAGGGGGGCUGCUCCUAGUACGAGAGGACCGGAGUGGACGCAUCACUGGUGUUCGGGUUGUCAUGCCAAUGGCACUGCCCGGUAGCUAAAUGCGGAAGAGAUAAGUGCUGAAAGCAUCUAAGCACGAAACUUGCCCCGAGAUGAGUUCU
rnacentral:rRNA from 1 species